rnacentral:rRNA from 1 species
GAUGAACGCUGGCGGCGUGCCUAAUACAUGCAAGUCGAGCGAACAGACGAGGAGCUUGCUCCUCUGACGUUAGCGGCGGACGGGUGAGUAACACGUGGAUAACCUACCUAUAAGACUGGGAUAACUUCGGGAAACUGGAGCUAAUACCGGAUAAUAUAUUGAACCGCAUGGUUCAAUAGUGAAAGACGGUUUUGCUGUCACUUAUAGAUGGAUCCGCGCCGCAUUAGCUAGUUGGUAAGGUAACGGCUUACCAAGGCGACGAUGCGUAGCCGACCUGAGAGGGUGAUCGGCCACACUGGAACUUAGACACGGUCCAGACUCCUACGGGACGCAGCAGUAGGGAAUCUUCCGCAAUGGGCGAACGCUUGACGGAGCAACGCCGCGUGAGUGAUGAAGGUCUUCGGAUCGUAAAACUCUGUUAUUAGGGAAGAACAAAUGUGUAAGUAACUAUGCACGUCUUGACGGUACCUAAUCAGAAAGCCACGGCUAACUACGUG